GACGAACGCUGGCGGCGCGCUUAACACAUGCAAGUCGAGCGAGAACCAGGGCUUCGGCCCUGGGGACAGCGGCGAACGGGUGAGUAACACGUGGGUAAUCCACCCUCGGCACCGGAAUAGCCCGGGGAAACCCGGAUUAAUGCCGGAUGGCCCGCCGGCCCUGCGGGGCUGGCGGAAAAGGUAGCUUCGGCCUCCGGCCGAGGACGAGCCCGCGACGGAUUAGCUUGUUGGUGGGGUAACGGCCUACCAAGGCUGCGAUCCGUAGCUGGUCUGAGGGGACGAUCAGCAACACUGGGACUGAGACACGGCCCAGACUCCUACGGGAGGCAGCAGUGGGGAAUCUUGCGCAAUGGGCGAAAGCCUGACGCAGCGACGCCGCGUGAGGGAAGAAGGCCUUCGGGUUGUAAACCUCUUUCAGGAGGGACGAAGCCACUCGGGUUAAUAGCCCAGAGGGUGACGGUACCUCCAGAAGAAGCCCCGGCUAACUACGUGCCAGCAGCCGCGGUAA
rnacentral:rRNA from 1 species